rnacentral:rRNA from 1 species
CGGAUUGUAGUCUGCAACCCGACUACAUGAAGCUGGAAUCGCUAGUAAUCGCAGGUCAGCAUACUGCGGUGAAUACGUUCCCGGGUCUUGUACACACCGCCCGUCACACCAUGGGAGCCGGUAACACCCGAAGUCGGUAGCCUAACCGUAAGGAGGGCGCCGCCGAAGGUGGGAUUGAUGACUGGGGUGAAGUCGUAACAAGGUAUC